rnacentral:rRNA from 1 species
UACGUAGGGAGCAAGCGUUGUCCGGAAUCAUUGGGCGUAAAGCGCGCGUAGGCGGCCUCGUAAGUCCGUUGUGAAAGUCAAAGGCUCAACCUUUGAAAGCCGAUGGAUACUGUGAGGCUAGAGUCCGGAAGAGGCGAGUGGAAUUCCUGGUGUAGCGGUGGAAUGCGCAGAUAUCAGGAGAAACACCGGUGGCGAAGGCGGUUCUCUGGGCCUUACCUGACGCUGAGGAGCGAAAGCGUGGGGAGCGAACAGG